rnacentral:lncRNA from 1 species
AUGAAGAACACCUCUCUCAAGGCAUCCAGACAUCAGCCAGCACGGGUGCUUAGCAACGCACUGCAGUGGAGUUGGAGCCUUCUGCGCAGGCGCCUGCCCACUAGCCUACAUCAGCAGCCCAGGCUGCGUGCCCACACUAGGGACCUCCAAAAGUUUUACCCUGGACAACGUUUACAAUCUGUGGUAAAGAGAAUCAUGGACUCCCCAAAUGUCCAGUCCCCAGUUGCUGGAACCUGUGAGAAUAUUAUCUUACAUGGCAAAGGGAUCUUUGCACAUGUGGUUCCAGGUUCAGAACUUGAGAUGGAGGAGCAGCCAGGUUAUCCAGGUGGGCCCGACAUAAUCACACAGUCCCUGAGAGUGGAGACCCUGUCCUAGGGUAUCAGAGGGAUAAGACAGAACAAGAAGAGAUCUCAGCUGUGUGUGGGAGAGACUCGACACGCUGCUGCUGGCUUUCAAGACGGAGGAAGGGGGCUUGGAUCCAAGGAUUCUAGCGGCUUCUAGAAGCUGGGAAUAGCCCUCUGCUGACAGUCAUCAAAAAAUAAAGAUCUUAGUCCAAUAAACCAAAAGAACCGAAUUCUGCCAACACCCUGAGUGAUCAAGAAAAGUGACUCUUCUCUAUAGCGUCUAGAUAAAAACACAGUUCUGCCAACACCUUGAUUUUAGUCUGAUGAGAACUGGAUCUCACCUUCAGC